AUACGGAGGGUGCAAGCGUUACUCGGAAUCACUGGGCGUAAAGCGCGCGCAGGCGGCUUGAUAAGUUGGAUGUGAAAGCCUACGGCUCAACCGUAGAACUGCAUCCAAAACUGUCAGGCUAGAGUGUGGGAGAGGAAGAUGGAAUUAGUUGUGUAGGGGUAAAAUCCGUAGAGAUAACUAGGAAUACCAAAAGCGAAGGCAAUCUUCUGGAACACUACUGACGCUGAGGCGCGAAGGCGUGGGGAGCAAACAGGAUUAGAUACCCUUGUAGUCC
rnacentral:rRNA from 1 species